GAUGAAGAACGCAGCGAAAUGCGAUAAGUAAUGUGAAUUGCAGAUUUCAGUGAAUCAUCGAAUCUUUGAACGCACCUUGCGCCUUGUGGUAUUCCACAAGGCAUGCCCGUUUGAGUAUCAUUAAAUCAUCAACUCUAAAACCUUUGUGGUUUUUUUAGAGCUUGGUCUUGAGGGUUUUGCAGGCUUUUUUUUUUUCGAGUCUGCUCCCUUUAAAUGCAUUAGCGAGACUUCCCUAUGCUGAACCGUCUCUUUGACGUGAUAAUUAUCUGCGUCGAAUUUUGGUUCUCGUUGGGCUUGCUUCUAAUCGUCUGUUAAAGACAAAACGGAUUUGGGUGCAUAUAUGCGCCUUUUUCCAAAACCUUUUUUGAUCUCAAAUCGGGUAGGACUUCCCGCUGAACUUAAGCAUAUCAAUAAGCGGAGGA
rnacentral:misc_RNA from 1 species